rnacentral:rRNA from 1 species
AGCUCCAAUAGCGUAUAUUAAAGUUGUUGCGGUUAAAACGCUCGUAGUUGGUUUUCUGUCGGGGGUGACUGGUCGUCCCCAGUGGAUGGUACUUGUUUUGCCCCUGGCAUCUUCCAAGGGAACACGUUCACACUUAACUGUGUGGCGCGGAAGCUUGGACCUUUACUUUGAGGAAAUGAGAGUGCUUCAAGCGGGUAUUUGCCACGAAUACGUUAGCAUGGAAUAAUAGUAUUGGACCUCGGACCAAAGCUGUU